GUGCCUAAUACAUGCAAGUGGAACGCAACUUUUCAUCCGUUUCUUCGGAAACAUCUGAGAAGUUGAGUCGCGAACGGGUGAGUAACGCGUAGGUAACCUGCCUGAUAGCGGGGGAUAACUAUUGGAAACGAUAGCUAAUACCGCAUAAGAGCUUUAGUGGCAUCAUUGGAGCUUAAAAGGAGCAACUGCUUCACUAUCAGAUGGACCUGCGUUGUAUUAGCUAGUUGGUGGGGUAAAGGCCUACCAAGGCAACGAUACAUAGCCGACCUGAGAGGGUGAUCGGCCACACUGGGACUGAGACACGGCCCAGACUCCUACGGGAGGCAGCAGUAGGGAAUCUUCGGCAAUGGGGGGAACCCUGACCGAGCAACGCCGCGUGAGUGAAGAAGGUUUUCGGAUCGUAAAGCUCUGUUGUAAGAGAAGAACGUGUGAGAGAGUGGAAAGUUCUCACAGUGACGGUAUCUUACCAGAAAGGGACGGCUAACUACGUGCCAGCAGCCGCGGUAAUACGUAGGUCCCGAGCGUUGUCCGGAUUUAUUGGGCGUAAAGCGAGCGCAGGCGGUUUCGUAAGUCUGAAGUAAAAGGCUGUGGCUUAACCAUAGUACGCUUUGGAAACUGCGGAACUUGAGUGCAGAAGGGGAGAGUGGAAUUCCAUGUGUAGCGGUGAAAUGCGUAGAUAUAUGGAGGAACACCGGUGGCGAAAGCGGCUCUCUGGUCUGUAACUGACGCUGAGGCUCGAAAGCGUGGGUAGCGAACAGGAUUAGAUACCCUGGUAGUCCACGCCGUAAACGAUGAGUGCUAGGUGUUGGGUCCUUUCCGGGACUCAGUGCCGCAGCUAACGCAUUAAGCACUCCGCCUGGGGAGUACGGCCGCAAGGCUGAAACUCAAAUGAAUUGA
rnacentral:rRNA from 1 species